rnacentral:rRNA from 1 species
GUUAGGAAUAUUGGACAAUGGGCGAAAGCCUGAUCCAGCCAUGCCGCGUGUGUGAAGAAGGUCUUCGGAUUGUAAAGCACUCUAAGUUGGGAGGAAGGGUAGUAACCUAAUACGUUGCUACUUUGACGUUACCGACAGAAUAAGCACCGGCUAACUUCGUGCCAGCAGCCGCGGUAAUAAGAAGGGUGCAAGCGUUAAUCGGAAUUACUGGGCGUAAAGCGCGAGUAGGUGGUUAAGUAAGUUGGAAGUGAAAUCCCCGGGCUCAACCUGGGAACUGCUUUCAAAACUGCUGAGCUAGAGUACGGUAGAGGGUGGUGGAAUUUCCUGUGUAGCGGUGAAAUGCGUAGAUAUAGGAAGGAACACCAGUGGCGAAGGCGACCACCUGGACUGAUACUGACGCUGAGGUGCGAAAGCGUGGGGAGCAAACAGGAUUAGAUACCCCCUGUAGUCC